rnacentral:lncRNA from 1 species
AAUUCUCCACCACCACCUUAUGAGUACAAGUCACCUCCACCACCAUAUGAACAUAAGGCUCCACCUUACGAGUACAAGUCUCCACCUCCACCUUCCCCGUCACCUCCACCUCCUUAUGUAUACAAGUCACCACCUCCACCACCGUAUGAGCACAAAGCUCCACCAUAUGAGUACAAGUCUCCUCCACCACCUUCUCCAUCACCUCCACCUCCUUACUACUAUAAAUCUCCACCACCACCUUCUCCCUCACCCCCACCACCUUACUACUACAAGUN